CCGUAGGAGCAUCAGCUCCAGGCGGUAAAGGUGGCCUCUGCUUGCAAGCUAUCACUGGGGAGGGGCCUGCGGGCCAUUAGCUAGUUGGUGAGGUAAUGGCUCACCAAGGCAAAGAUGGCUAGCUGGUCUGAGAGGAUGGCCAGCCACACUGGGACUGAAACACGGCCCAGACUCCUACGGGAGGCAGCAGUGAGGAAUAUUGCGCAAUGGGCGAAAGCCUGACGCAGCGACGCCGCGUGGGUGAUGAAGGUCUUCGGGUCGUAAAGCCCUGUCAGGGGGGACGAAACCGCCCCGACCCAAUACGUCGGGGACCUGACGGUACCCCCAAAGGAAGCACCGGCUAACUCCGUG
rnacentral:rRNA from 1 species